rnacentral:piRNA from 1 species
UGGGCACAAUCCUCAAAUCAGGGCUGGAUGUU